AGAGGCAUGGCUUGGCAAUAGAACAUUUACCUUACAAGCAUGAGGCCCUGAGUUCAAACCUCAGUGCCUCAA
rnacentral:tRNA from 1 species